UACUCGAGUGGCGAACGGGUGAGUAACACGUGGGUGAUCUGCCCUGCACUUCGGGAUAAGCCUGGGAAACUGGGUCUAAUACCGGAUAGGACGAUGGUUUGGAUGCCAUUGUGGAAAGUUUUUCGGUGUUGGAUGAGCUCGCGGCCUAUCAGCUUGUUGGUGGGGUAAUGGCCUACCAAGGCGUCGACGGGUAGCCGGCCUGAGAGGGUGGACGGCCACAUUGGGACUGAGAUACGGCCCAG
rnacentral:rRNA from 1 species